rnacentral:tRNA from 1 species
GGGUGAGUAGCUCAGUUGGUUAGAGCAUCUCGUUUACACCGAGAGGGUCGGGGGUUCGAGUCCCUCCUCACCUACCA